rnacentral:pre_miRNA from 1 species
CAUUUGAUGUGUAGCCAAGGAUGAAUUGCCGGUGCCGUUUCGCUGCUGCAUGAGCAGUGGUGGGUGAUGCCGCCGGCAAGUCAUUUGGGGCUACAUGUUUGCCUCC